rnacentral:rRNA from 1 species
GACGAACGCUGGCGGCGUGCUUAACACAUGCAAGUCGAACGGAAAGGCCCUGCUUUUGUGGGGUGCUCGAGUGGCGAACGGGUGAGUAACACGUGAGUAACCUGCCCUUGACUUUGGGAUAACUUCAGGAAACUGGGGCUAAUACCGGAUAGGAGCUCCUGCUGCAUGGUGGGGGUUGGAAAGUUUCGGCGGUUGGGGAUGGACUCGCGGCUUAUCAGCUUGUUGGUGGGGUAGUGGCUUACCAAGGCUUUGACGGGUAGCCGGCCUGAGAGGGUGACCGGCCACAUUGGGACGGAGAUACGGCACAGACUCCUACGGGACGGAGCAGUGGGGAAUAUUGCACAAUGGGCGGAAGCCUGAUGCAGCAACGCCGCGUGGGGGAUGACGGCCUUCGGGUUGUAAACCGCUUUCGCCUGUGACGAAGCGUGAGUGACGGUAAUGGGUAAAGAAGCACCGGCUAACUACGUG